UCUCCGUUGGUGAACCAGCGGAGGGAUCAUUACAGAGUCUUCACAACUCCCAACUCUUGCGAACCGUACCCCUUCUGUUCUCGUUGCUUCCGGCGGUGCGGACGGGGGGGCCAGAAACGGCCUCCCCGCCCCGCCCGCCGGGGGCGGCGGGCCCUACGACCCUUUAUAUCUUAACCACCAGAAACCGUCUCAUAAAACACACUAAAAAAUCAAAACUUUCAACAACGGAUCACCUGGCUCACGCAUCGAUGAAGUACGCAGCAGAUCGGAAGAACAAAC
rnacentral:misc_RNA from 1 species